AAAAGAACCAGUUUCAGGCAGUAACGUAGAGUCGCGCUCUUAAUGUUGGUGGAUGUGUUUUCACACGCUUCAUCCUGUGACCACUACAGUCUGAGAAGAUGAUCUGCUGGAUCCUGCAGCUCAUCAUCCUGACCUCCUGUGUCUGUGCAGGAGCAUUUGUAGUGACAGUGACACAGAGCUCCUAUCAGGCAGAGGAGAACCACAACGUCACACUGGAAUGGAGGUUCACACCCAAACCUGACAGCUCCUCCAACUCCCUUUAUAUCUACUGUGAACUGAUCACUGAUCACAAAGUCUCAGUCCUGUAUCAUCUGUAUGAGGGUGUUGAGGUCCCAGAGUCUCAGGAUGAACAGUUUUCAGAACGAGUCCAGUGCAACAAAGACGUCCUCAGAGAGGGACGAAUCAGACUUCAUGUGUCCAGACUCAGGACUGAGGACUCAGGCCUGUACCUGUGUGAUGUGGGGACAGAUGAUGGUGUGAGCAAUGACAAAUGUCAGCUCAACGUCAGCGCAGCUGCUGAUCCCCCCAAACCUCACAGACCAACUGUGAGCCCACAACCAGAGAGUCGGGGAAGGAUUGGUCUCUACGCUGUACUGGUACUGGGACUGGGACUGGUAGCAGCUCUACUGGUCAAAUUGUGC